ACGGGUGAGUAAUAUAUCGGAACGUACCUUUGAGUGGGGGAUAACUAGUCGAAAGAUUAGCUAAUACCGCAUACGAUCUACGGAUGAAAGUGGGGGCUCGCAAGACCUCAUGCUCAUAGAGCGGCCGAUAUCUGAUUAGCUAGUUGGUGAGGUAAAGGCUCACCAAGGCAUCGAUCAGUAGCUGGUCUGAGAGGACGACCAGCCACACUGGGACUGAGACACGGCCCAGACUCCUACGGGAGGCAGCAGUGGGGAAUUUUGGACAAUGGGGGCAACCCUGAUCCAGCAAUGCCGCGUGAGUGAAGAAGGCCUUCGGGUUGUAAAGCUCUUUUGUCAGGGAAGAAACGGGAUGUUCUAAUACAGCGUCCUAAUGACGGUACCUGAAGAAUAAGCACCGGCUAACUACGUGCCAGCAGCCGCGGUAAUACGUAGGGUGCAAGCGUUAAUCGGAAUUACUGGGCGUAAAGCGUGCGCAGGCGGUUGUGUAAGACAGGUGUGAAAUCCCCGGGCUUAACCUGGGAAUGGCAUUUGUGACUGCACGGCUAGAGUGUGUCAGAGGGGGGUAGAAUUCCACGUGUAGCAGUGA
rnacentral:rRNA from 1 species